rnacentral:tRNA from 1 species
CUGAGUGUGGGCUAUUGGGAGGCCACCUGCCUUGGGAGCAGGCGUAUGCAGGUUCAAUUCCUGUCGCUCAGA